rnacentral:rRNA from 1 species
AAGAAAGGAUCGGCUAACUUCGUGCCAGCAGCCGCGGUAAGACGAGGGAUCCAAGCGUUGUUCGGAAUCAUUGGGCGUAAAGCGGGUGUAGACGGCUUUGUAAGUCAGGUGUGAAAGCCCAGGGCUCAACCCUGGAAGUGCAUUUGAUACUGCGAAGCUUGAGUGUGGGAGAGGCUAGUAGAAUUCCUGGUGUAGUGGUGAAAUACGUAGAUAUCAGGAGGAAUACCGGUGGCGAAGGCGGCUAGCUGGCCCAACACUGACGUUGAGACCCGAAAGCGUGGGGAUCAAACAGGAUUAGAUACCCUGGUAGUCCACGCCAUAAACGAUGGAUACUUGUUGUUGGAGGUAUUGACCCCUUCAGUGACGAAGCUAACGCGUUAAGUAUCCCGCCUGGGGAGUACGGUCGCAAGAUUAAAACUCAAAGAAAUUGACGGGGGCCCGCACAAGCGGUGGAGCAUGUGGUUUAAUUCGAUGCAACGCGAAGAACCUUACCUAGGCUUGACAUGUACUGGAAGAGUGGCAGAAAUGUCCUCGCCCGCAAGGGUCGGUACACAGGUGCUGCAUGGCUGUCGUCAGCUCGUGUCGUGAGAUGUUGGGUUAAGUCCCGCAACGAGCGCAACCCCUGCCUUUAGUUGCCAGCAUUUAGUUGGGCACUCUAGAGGGACUGCCGACGUUAAGUCGGAGGAAGGUGGGGAUGACGUCAAGUCCUCAUGGCCCUUAUGUCUAGGGCUACACACGUGCUACAAUGGGGCGUACAGACGGAUGCAUAACCGCGAGGUGAAGCCAAUCCUACAAAACGCCUCUAAGUUCAGAUUGCAGUCUGCAACUCGACUGCAUGAAG